CGCCCGUCGCUUAGUUCUUUUUAUUUCCUUCCCCUUCCUCCCGAACCAAACCAUUUGCCCCUACUAGUAGGUGCGACCGACCGUAAACAACAGACACGAUAACGAAAGUACCGCAAGGGAACCGCCUCAAGCCCAAAAUAGCAAGGAUCGACCCCUGUACCUUUCGCAUCAUGGUUUAGCCAGACACCCCCGCAGCACGCUGCCCCCCACCUGCCUCCCCGAAACCUAGCGAGCUACCUGUGGGCUCUCCCAAUCCGUCUCUGUAGCAAAAGCGUGGACAGACCUACAGGUAGUGGUGACACGCCUAUCGCGCUCGGCAAUAGCUGGCUGCUUGAUAUAGAAUUUAAGUUCUCACUCAAUAUUUUCCCACUAAUUGACUGACUAUUGAGCACGCCGUUGAGGGUACAGCUCCAACGGCCAGGGAUACACCCCCAACCUGAGGGUAUUUCUUUUUUUAUCACCAGUAGGCCCUACAGCAGCCACCACAACAAACAGCGUCAAAGCGCUAACUAACUAAUUCCGCCCUACCCCACAAACCCCAGUAAAAAUCAAAGCCACUCUACACAAGUAGAGGUACCAAUGCUAAAACUACUAAUAAGGACUCCAACCCCUCUUUCACGCACCCCCACAUCAGAACUAGACCCACCACUGAUCCUCAUUCGGCCCACCCUCCAAACAACACCCCCUCCCCCCACUAAACACCCGCCCGUAAAACCAACACAGGAGCGUGAACUAGAAAGAUGAAAAGCUAUAGAAGGAACUCGGCAAACCAACAACUCCAACUGUUUACCAAAAACAUAACCUUUAGCCAAACAAGUAUUAAAGGCAUCGCCUGCCCAGUGAGCACCCCUUUAACGGCCGCGGUACCCUAACCGUGCAAAGGUAGCAUAAUCAUUUGUCUAUUAAUUGUAGACUAGCAUGAAAGGCUGCAUGAGAGUUGCACUGUCUCCUGUAGCCCAUCAAUGAAACUGAUCUUGCAGUCAAAAAGCUGUAAUGCACCCAUAAGACGAGAAGACCCUGUGAAACUUUAACAACCCCUACUUAUCUAACACUAGGGUAGUUUUAGUUGGGGCGACUUCGGAGAAUAACACAACCCCCGAACACCACGACCACAUGUCAACCCAGGCCCACAGGCCCGAUAAGACCCAGUCCACCUGAUCAAUGAACCGAGCUACUCCAGGGAUAACAGCGCUAUCUUCUUCAAGAGCCCACAUCAAAAAGAAGGUUUACGACCUCGAUGUUGGAUCCGGGCACCCAAGUGGCGCAGCCACUACUAACGGUUCGUUUGUUCAACGAUUAAUAGC
rnacentral:rRNA from 1 species